UAGGGAAUCUUCGGCAAUGGGGGGAACCCUGACCGAGCAACGCCGCGUGAGUGAAGAAGGUUUUCGGAUCGUAAAGCUCUGUUGUUAAGGAAGAACGAGUGUGAGAAUGGAAAGUUCAUACUGUGACGGUACUUAACCAGAAAGGGACGGCUAACUACGUGCCAGCAGCCGCGGUAAUACGUAGGUCCCGAGCGUUGUCCGGAUUUAUUGGGCGUAAAGCGAGCGCAGGCGGUUAGAUAAGUCUGAAGUUAAAGGCAGUGGCUCAACCAUUGUAGGCUUUGGAAACUGUUUAACUUGAGUGCAGAAGGGGAGAGUGGAAUUCCAUGUGUAGCGGUGAAAUGCGUAGAUAAAUGGAGGAACACCGGUGGCGAAAGCGGCUCUCUGGUCUGUAACUGACGCUGAGGCUCGAAAGCGUGGGGAGCGAACAGG
rnacentral:rRNA from 1 species